rnacentral:lncRNA from 1 species
UUUUCAUGUUACACUAUCAACCAUGGUCAAAAUAUGUUAAUGCCCGGAUGACCAUGGUACACAGUCAACCAUGGUCAGCCAGAAUAUCUGAGUUAUCAUAACUCUCUACCCAUUUGCUAGCAAAAAUGUCAACUUUUUCCUUAGAAACUAACAAGAGACUAACACCAUAUAGUNGUAAGUAAGUAUGUAAGUGAGGCUUUUUAAAAGUUAACCUUUACCUACAUCAUGUAAAAAAUCGUUUUUGAAAUCCAUAUCUUAGAUUACCAGUGCAUUUCGAAUAAACUUCCACACAAUACAUUAUUGAAAAAUAUACUUAUUUAUUUCCUGUUACUGUUACCCACUGCUGAAACUAUUUCCAGUGCAUUUAAAAUAUAAACAUCUUCAAACCAUCUUUACACAUUUGCAAGUCCUGUUUCUUUCCACUAAGAAACUGUACUGUGACCGUGAGUGGACUGGUGAUUAGCCGGUAUGUACGCGGGCUCAUAGUCUGUGUUUUGGCGCCUAAUGUUGUUAUUCAUCGGUAACCGUUUCUUGUAGAGAAAAAUNCCGUAUAAUCUCUGUUCAAAAGAAGUUUUUAUGAGUUUUGGAAGCUGGAUUUGCUCAGCAAGAGUUUGAUAUCGUGCAAUGGGUUCAAUUUUUACUUUCCUGGAUUGCAAAAUCGGUGGCUGAUCAUGAGGACAUGGAUUGAAUCACUAUCAGGCAUGUUCAAGAAAGAUCUGUUACAAGAAGUAAUGUACAGAGCCGAGAAAAUAUUUUGAUAGGCUAAAAACCCACAAGGAAUCAUAGUGGGGAAUCAAAAUUCACAACAUACUUAGAAAAAGUCUUGCAGAAGCUAUUACAAAGUGAACUUCUCUCUUUAUGACAAUUUAUUUCUCAUUUAGUGAGAAAAUUAUGAAUUUUUUCGAGAAGGUCUUGCAAUUAUUCAUUUAUACUUAACAAAACUGUAUGGAAAAAGUAUUUUUAAGCAAAGUCAUUUUAUCUGUUUCUUUGAUCAAUUUUCUUUAAAAGAAUUCUAGUUAGCACAUUAAAAUGCAUAAACAGAUUGGCUGUAUACAUAAUCAAGUUAUUUUAUUGAGUGUAUUAUAAUAUGAAAAAAUAUAAAUAAUUCUAAAAAUUAUUACCAUACUGUAGAUGUGCACUAAGCAUUGAACAGAAAGUACAGUAAGUUGUCAGGACAAAAGAGCACCAGGCCAACCAAAUUUCAUGAUAGUAACUUUAGUGUAGAAACAAAAAUUUUGGCUAAUAUUUACAUGCUGAUUGUAUUCAAAUUAUUUUCUGUUGCAUUAAAAAAGUGAGUGCAAAUA